UGCGAAUUAUUCUCCCAAUGUUCAGUGAACAGUUCAUCCUUUUACUUUUGUAUAUGGUAACUGCAUGAAAGUUCUGGGAUGCUCACGUUGAUGAAGUAAUCCAGGACUGGCUACUUUCCCCUGAUAUAGCCUUAGCUGCUGGCUCUGCAUAAAUCACCCAUUCCCUUGCCUCCCUGUGUCAUAUGCAAACAUGUUGCGUAUCAGGUCGUUGGGGGAUGAGGUGUUAAGAGACCUCACUUUUCUCUGGGCCAGCUUUAUAUGAAGCCAGUGCCCAUCUCCUCUCCAUCGCUGGCUUACCUUCCCCAACCUUUUCAGGAGUCAGGUACCCAUUCCCUCCAGCUGGGUCGACUGGGGGGAAAGUUUGCUGCUCUAAUCGGGCAUUGAACCA